GUGGCAUCCAUGGAGACCCUGGCUCCGGUUUCACAGGAAGGGAAGGUGUGUGUCACAGUCCCUAAUGGAUCAGCUACCAAUCAUUAGCCAAGUCCUUCUCUUACUUUUCUCCUCGGAGAGAACCAAGCUUAGACAAUAGCAUGGCUUUCGAGGUGGGAAGGACCUCAUGAAGGAGACGGAAAAGAGUGACUGCAGAUCUUACAUGUAGGAUCUGGCGGAGCUCAGCUUAAAGCCGUUGCCACCCAGCCAUGGGCAUUUUCUCCACAUUUUGCAGGCAUCCUACAACUGAAAACUGGGUCGCAGGCAUUUGAAUUGGCCCAGAGGACCCCUGCACCGCCUAAGCCCUCCUGGCUUUGUCAUGGUUUUCAGAAUUAGAGGGGAAGCAUGCAUAAGAAAGCAGAGGGCGUGGGCAGGAGCUGGGGCUGCCUCCUUCCCAAACACUGACGGCUCCUGUUGACACAGACUUGAAAAUUCUGAGCGCUCAUGGACAUAUUAGCAUACUACAAAUAUCUAAAGGGGCUGUGAAAUAUCACUGAGAAGAUAAGCUUUCACAUGCCCUUUGGAGAGUCACAUCCUAUUCUGAGAACCCCCAUUGUCUGAGCCAGCCCAUGGGGAGCACAGGCUUCAGGUUCUAAGCUCGGUGGUCUGGGAAGUCCCGGGAAGAGAAGAACUGAGCCACGGUCCCAGGAAGAGAAAAACAGAUAGUGGCCAGGCUCCAUGUGUGCCCGCCCUGCUCUCCUCAUCUCCCAUGGAUCCAUGUUCCUGAUCCUCACAGCUCUAGUCGUAUUCUCCACUUUCUGCAGAUGGGAUUUAAACCCAGGUCUUCUGGGUCCAGCGUUCCUGCUCUUAAUCAUCCAGGCCUAAGGACACGGGUUGAAAGUCAUUCACUGCUGCCUCUGGAGGUUGAGUUGUUUUAAAGUGCUGCGAUCUACUAAGUCUUCAGAAAUUAGUUGAUCCAACCGUAAUCUUCUGAGCACAUGAGCUUUCUUUUCUUGAAGACUCAUUACACUUUCCUUCAGCUUGUUCUCGGCAGGAUGAGUGACUGCCCGUCCUGGAGGCCUCCUCAGAAGCCUCAUACCUGGCUCUCCGAUGGAGCCCACGGUUCUUCUGUACUUCCUCCCUAUGGUUCCUGGGCCUGGAGUGUGGGCUGGACAGGGCAAGGCCUGGAUUGUGUUCAUUAAACAAGAAGAUAAGCUCAUGGUUACCACAGGGAUGUUCUGUUUGUGCCCCUGCUAGGGUUUUGCUUGGCUUUGGAAGCCUUUCAUGUGCCCCGAAUGCUAUAAACCCUUGCAAUAAAUGUGAAGUGUAUAUAGUUUCUGCUACUUAUGGGAGGCAUUGAGGGAGUUAAGCACAGUGGCUUUUGUGUCUGCAGAUUUGAGCUGAAAUUCCAGUUCUGCAGCAUAGGGCUUAACAGGUUCACUCCCCUUCCCCAUCCUCUCAUCCCCCAGGGCUUUACUCUCUCUUCCUUCCACCUGGAUAGAUGCCCUUCUCAUCUUCACACAGCAGAACACUGCUUGUUCUGAGAGCUCGCCCUGCUGAUUCUUCUUCCAUGAGUCAGAAAGCCCACUUCACUUAUAGGAUGAGAACAUGGAUUUAAAAUCAGACAAAUCUGGGUUCAUACCGUCCUUUUGCUAGCUAGACAAUGAUUGGAGUUUGUCAGUUUCCUUGAGAAAAAAAGGGAUAAUGAUAUUCCUACCUUUUAAGGUAAUGGCAGACAUUAGGAAAAUAUAAACAUAAAAUUAUUAGUAGAGAUUUGAUGAGUAGCCAGUGCUCAGUAAUAACUAGGCAAUUCUUGAUUGUGUCUGAAUGAGUUUGUGAGUGCAUAUGAGAGUGUGUGUAUGUGAGUGUUAUGCGUGCUCACACAUGUGUCUGGUAAAGGGCAGAUAUUCAUAUAGCUGCUCAGGUUGGUGGAAAUAAUUUCUUUUUACUUUUAUUCUAUUGUUCCUCCCAGGACUGAGUUUCUGGCCUGUCUCACUUUUGACGUCUAAUAUUGCGUUGGUUAAGAGUGCCUUCUCUCUCCCCCACUCUACAGAUAUUCAGAAGUAACUGUGAAGUAAUUGUGGAUGGGAUCCAUGUCUACUUGGUAUGUUUGUCUCCUGAGCAUCUGUUGCCAGUGUAAUUUCAUGACAAUCAUCAAUAUGUAUUGAAUAAAACAAUGGAUAUGUGAGUGGCUGCAGUAUCCCCAAGUCAUUUUGAACUGUGAUUUUUACAUGCCAGGGCCAUCAUCAGAAAAUAUUUAUGUGUUACUUACCUAAGUCAGCACAAUGCAGGCCAGUGAAUGCUCAAAGAAACUGGAAAUUCAGGUCCUGCCCUCUAGCUCACCUCUUAAGGGGUUGGCCUGCCCAAACUCUGUUAUCACUGGAA
rnacentral:lncRNA from 10 species